rnacentral:rRNA from 1 species
UACGUAGGGUGCGAGCGUUAAUCGGAAUUACUGGGCGUAAAGCGUGCGCAGGCGGUUAUUUAAGUCAGGUGUGAAAGCCCUGGGCUUAACCUAGGAAUUGCGCUUGAGACUGGAUAGCUUGGAGUGCGGCAGAGGGAGGUGGAAUUCCACGUGUAGCAGUGAAAUGCGUAGAUAUCAGGAGGAACACCGGUGGCGAAGGCGGGUCUCUGGGCCGAUACUGACGCUGAGGAGCGAAAGCGUGGGGAGCAAACAGG